GGACAUGUGCCCGAAAGAUAAGGACUACCUUGAUAGGGUAAUUUAUAGAGGUUCAAACCCUCUCAUUUCC
rnacentral:tRNA from 1 species